CUGCAGGUAUUCCUAACAGACCACAAGAUAUGCAAAACUAGUUUUUCUGUUCCCUUGUCAGUCUCUGUAAUCGCAUUUGUUACGUCUUUAAAUCACUUAAAUCAGAGUUUGCAAUUAUAUAAUUACUCGUGUAAUAUCCUCAUGUUCCACCUCACACACUAUUCAUUGUGAAAAUGAGCUUAUUUUCCUUACCAAUGGUAAAAUGAAGAAUUGACACCUAUAGUCAUUCGAACCACAGUUUGUGAAUAAACAAAUAUAAUAUCAGUAAAUGGAUUUCAAGAACUGGUCUGAUUUUAUUAGGCUUUAGCAACUGACAUAUAAACCUGUCCAACAAAAGUUUGAGAGUGGAAUUGAAAGUGGAGAAAAAAUUGUGAAGCAAGGAUGGUCCUAGGAAACAGCAGAGGAGCUGGGAAUGAGAAGAAGAACUAACGCACUACCACAGAUACUUCUCCAUUUGCAACUAAAAUACUUAAAAAACGACCAUAGCAUCUUGGAGCAAGAUCAAUAUUGUAAUACUCUUAGAACCUCCAUCCCUACUGACUGUAUUAGCAGUAUCUGCUGAUAAAACAGAUUUUGAAUGACCAUGUAAGCUCUUAAGGAAUAUGGCCAAAGAAUAUGAGAAAUCUUGAAAUGGUGACUUAUGUGAAGCAAAGAUUUUGGUCAUAGUUUUUACCUUAUAGAUAUCUGGCAUUGUUGGAAUGAAUUCAUUAAGUUUACCAGGACAAGACUUUGUAAAUAUAUCAAAGAUGACUUUUUAAACAAGUACACAUUCCUGUUUUAAAUCCCAAUUUAGGAAAUGUUAACUUUUCAUAAGCCUUGCAUAGACUCAGUGAGGUGGAGCCAACUAAGAGCGAUAGGGGGUCAGUGGAAGGAAAGGAAAUCUUUCCUGGGACCACUGUAGCACAACAGAAGAUGCUUAUGUAUCAGAAGAUAGAGGAGAUUCAGGGUGGGAUUACUCUUAGAAAGAAAAUUCAUAUUGUGUAUGUUAGGAAAACAUGAUGAUUUUAUGAUGGCUGAGUAUUAGACCCAUUAUUAGUAGACCACUAGAUAUGCACUACUAGAAUGAUUUUAUUAUCGCUUUAGUAUUCUAAAUUUAGUAUUUCUCUUUAGUAUUCUAUUUCUAGGCUAAGACCCUGAAACUUCACUCUUGAAAGAAAAUACUAUCUUAAAAAAUAUCAGAGGGAUUGUCUUAAGAAAUUAACCGUUUAAUGUUCCAAAGUUUUGCUUUAGCCAUUCAGGACCCCACUCCACCCUCAUGUCAUAGCAUGAGCAACAUGCUCAUCUGGUUCUUCUCUAUCCCUUCACUUACUCUUAUUGACCCAUGUCACACAGCACAUUCUUCUUUAUCUAAGUGAUUCCGAAUUUAUAUGCUCAUAUCGUUGUUCCUUUGCUCCCAUAUUUUCUUUCCCCUGGUCCAUCAAGAAUACUCUGCAUCCUUUGCUUUAAAAGACAGUCUUAUGCAGGGGGAGACAGAAGCUCUCUCUUGCACUCCUGUGAACCACAGGCAGCCCUCCCUUGGUACCUGUUCAAUAUGAGAUCCUCAAAACCCUUGAUACGACAAACAUAUUUUCUGUAACAUGUAACUGCACAAGAUAUUUUUUUCCUUAAGUCUGUUUUCUUUCUUUUCUAGACAUUUGUUAUCUAAAUAAUGACAGAAUACUUUGAUUAUGAGUGUAUACACAGGGAUAUGUUGUCAAGAGUCUAAUUCCUGCUCUCAAAUAUAGGACAUGUGCAAUUUAAAAAAAGAUUUAAAAAAUCUUUUAAAUUUAAACAAGUAUUUUAUUUGUUUAGAAGUAAUGGUAAUGACUUAAUGAAGAAAACACAAGACACAAGACUAAAAAAAAUUGUGCUUGACAAUAGUUAUGUAAAUAAG
rnacentral:lncRNA from 1 species